rfam:Rattus norvegicus chromosome 18, whole genome shotgun sequence.
GGGGAUUUAGCUCAGUGGUAGAGCGCUUGCCUAACAACCGCAAGGCCCUGGGUUCGGUCCCCAGCUCCA